UGCACUUUUUUUCUUUUUUUUUUUUCAGUGUAUGUUUUAAGUGCAGAGAAUCCAGCAGUGACCCCCAAAUCCCUCAGUUUAGUUUAUUGUGACACGCCAGUUCGCUCGUGGUGUUCAGAUACAUGUAUCCAUAGACCUUCACUUUCAGUCUCCCCUCAGGUGUCCUGGGCAACCCAUCUUUCCAUAAACCCCCAGCUUAUCUGUUGACAGCCUGUCCAGUCUGCUGAGAGGCUCAACUCUUUGACCAUACUUCCAUAUCAUGGAUGCAGAACAACCAUGUCCAAACUAGAGAUACCAGCAUGCAGUCGCGGUGCAGGUGGCUGGGAGAUCUCAGUUGGCGAGAUUACUUAUUCACUGGAAAAAGCUAUAUUAUGGAUAGAGGAUAGAGAUCGAAAAACACAGCUAUUCACUACACACGAUGUUAACUGAUGGACUGGAGAGGUGUGGAUUUCUUGUGGAUUAGUGUGAUGUUUGUAUCAGCUGUUUGGACUCUGACGGCACCCAACCAUUUUGAUGUAAUGCUAAACUUCUCCAAAUCCUCAUACUCAUCUACAUCUUGGAUUUCGUGAGGUGAGAGUUUGAACGAUGUGAGGGUGAGUAAAUGGCUCAUUUUAAUUUUUGUGUGAACACUGGUAUAUCCACUGUAACCUACUUGGUUAUUAUGAUCAUCUUUUAUGAUAAGGGGAAUUAAUACUCUAAUUGUUAAUCUGCAGUAAUGGGUGAGUGCCUGAUUCCAGUUUCUUUACCUAGUAACUUUACAUUAGUACAUAUUAGUGCAUAAUAUUACUGCACCAGGGCUUGGUAUCAGGAUAAUGUCUUUGUGAGGGCCUGGGUCAUUGCACAACUGGAUGCUUCACAAAAAAAAAAAAAAAAAAAAAGUGAAGAAAGAAGGGGGAGGAGUAUGGCAACUGUCAUCACAAACAAGAAACAGCUGUCUCAUUUGUGUAACUUGUUUUCUUUUAAUAUGAGAAGUAUGUUGGUAGAGAUCUUUGAGUUUUGAGGAAGGCCUGAUAGGAGAGAGGAAUGAUUCUUCCAGACCUUUGGUGAAUUUAUGGGUUUCUCGGCAGACAAAUUCUCUCCUUGUGUUCUCUGAGGUGAGUUUAGGGAAAUGUUAGUUUAUUAGAAAUCGAUACUCCAAAUUAAACUUAACCCCCUAAAAAAAACCACUGGCCCCCUAAUAAUAAAGAUUUUUGUAAUAAUAAUAAUAAAAUUAAUUAAAAUUAAACAUGGACAUCUGAAACACAACCUUAAAGUAUUUAGACUUGCAAAAAACUUGCAUAAUGUGUAGAAUUAGGGUUGCCAAGUCUGCGGUUUUCACACAGAAUUAGGCUGCUUUUAUAAUGUUGUCACGAGUUGAAGCAAACCUGUUGACCCCCCUGGAACGUGACCGAGGUAAAACCCCCUCAGGGUGAUUUUGGAGUGAUUUUGAAAGUCAAUUUCCCCCGGAAUGCGACUGGGCUACUUUUGAUGAUGAUUGAGUUUUGUUAAGCAGACCUGGCAACCCUGUGUAGAAUCCUCUCUUAACCUCUUCCCAUUGCCACUGAAUACCGUGCAGUUGCAUUACUACUAUUUCUUAUUCUAGAGUUUGUGAGAAGAGCAAUCAUUUAAGACGGGGUCAC